rnacentral:rRNA from 1 species
CCCUUAGAUGUUCUGGGCCGCACGCGCGCUACACUGAUUCAUGCAACAAGUUUUGUCCUUGGCUGAUAGGCCUGGGUAAUCUUUGAACGUGAAUCGUGAUGGGGAUAGAUGAUUGCAAUUAUUCAUCUUCAACGAGGAAUUCCUAGUAAACGCAAGUCGUCAGCUUGCAUUGAUUACGUCCCUGCCCUUUGUACACACCGCCCGUCGCACCUACCGAUUGAAUGGUCCGGUGAAAUCUUCGGAUCUGAGAGAUGUCUGAUUAAUUUCGGACGCCUUUUGGAAAAGUUGCUUAAACCUUACCAUUUAGAGGAAGGUGAAGUCGUAACA